UCCUGGGUGGCAUAGAUGGUUAAGCUCUCAACUACUAGUUGAAAGGUUGGUGGUUCGAACCCACCCAGAGGUG
rnacentral:tRNA from 1 species